UCGUGGGAGCCCAGACACGGCUACAGUAAACCUGGAGGACUGUGCAGACCUGGACAUUAGAGAAACAAUCAGGCUUCUGGAGGUGGAAUCAAACCUAUCAGCUGAAGAAAUGGGAAGGGUACAGAACGUGGCCUCUUCCUGGGACCUCCCUCCGCUAACCACAACCAACAGGGCCCUUAAUGCUCUGCGGUGAAAAAUGGAGCAACAGGGCUGACCGUGACAUCGGGAGAGCUGAGGCAGAUCAUCUUAAACAUGAUGCACCUGGACGGUCCGGUGGCGGAGACUUCAAGAAUUAAAUAAAAUUGCAA